AACUAUGCAAACCAAUUUGCUCAUAUCACUGUUACAUGACUUGAAAGGAACCGUUCAUGAAGUUGACUCAUUUCCAAAUCCUUGGAUUUAAAUCCCAGCUCUGCUCUGAGUUACCAUGUGCAGCAAACCUUGCAGAUGGGUUCUCUACUCAGUGUUAGCUUUUGCACUCGUACUUAUGGACUUAAGGACAGAUGCAACUCUGGAAGGUUCCUCUAUGGAUCUCCCAGAUCUGCCUUACAGUGAGGACCACCUGGUGUAUCCACGGAUCAUUAAAGUAUCUGCUGUCAAAGGAUCUUAUGAUGGUCAUAGAACUCUCUCUCGUCGGAAACGGAACAUUCUGCUCCCAAGUGGCGUUAAACUGUGUGCACAAGAGACUGCAGAUCAAAUUGUUGCAACACAUCUGACUUACUUUCGUCUGAAAGGUUAGCAAACACUUUCAACAAACUAUUGAGG